AUGGAAAUUGAUUACAAUGUAUGGUGCAACAAAGUUAUCACCCUGCAUGUAAGCUAGUAGUACUUCCUGUUUCGAUGUUCUUUUCCUAAGAUGGUGUUGGUUGUUUUCUGUAGUACGCCUGUUGCUAAAUGCUAACUCCCUAUGAAACUGAUAAUUUGAUUCCUGAACCCCUAUUUGUUAAUGUUGUCAUACCUUAGAGAAAAAAAAAGGGCAGCCCCAGUGCAUGUAGCUCCCGCUUGCGCAGGGUCUGGAGAAGGGUCCGACCACUUUGGGUCUAUUGUACGCAGCCUUUCCCUACAUUUCUGUAAGAGGCUGUUUUCAGGACUUGAACCCGUGACCUCAUGGUCACAAGGCAGCAGCUUUACCACUGCGCUAACGCUCCCCUUCGUUGUCAUACCUUAGAGAAGAUCUCCGUAAAUGAGAAGGCC
rnacentral:lncRNA from 1 species